UCUCCAACCAAGUCUAGUGGUGCGGGGCCGGCGAGCUACUGGCCCUUGAGGCUGACGCCAACAACGGGAUCGGGCUAGGAGGAUGCUCUGAGCACGGGGCGAGCAGCACAGGAGCAUUCCUCCCAUUUUCCAAGGAUGCCAGGCACCCGGGCUAGGGGGGAGGCUGCUCUCAGCUCUCAGCUCUCGGGGCCAGUCCUCGGGUGCCCAAUUCCAGCAGCCUUCCCCCUGCCCCCCGGUGCCCUCCCUCCCCAGGCAGGGAAAGAGUCGGGCUGCCGGGUGCCGAUGCUCCCAGAGGGGGGGACCGGAGCGCCUCGGCCACCCGCCCGCUGGGACAAACGCCACCCGCCCGGACAGCCAGCUCGGGUCUUCUCUCCGGGAAAAGCAGAAGGACCCAGAGCAAGGACUUGCCCCAAAUGCCUCUGCUUCCACCCCUAUGUUUACUCUUUGAAGAUUGUCUCAGGACUUUAACCCCCUGGGUCUUAAAGGAUGUCAGAGCAUGCACUCGGUCAUUGAAGAGCUCAGCAUUGCUCGAUUCUUCAUAAAACGUGAAGCAUGGAAUAAAUAAAUAAAUAAAUCCACAUGUUGGCAGGGUUAUUCGGAAAAAAGUUGCAGAAGUUGGAGUAGGAAGGCUCGAGGACCAAAUUAGACAAAAAGCCAAUCUUCUGAGCUUUACAGAUGUAUUUAUCUCACUUGGCUGUUUUGCAGGUGAACCGUUGUCCUCAUCCCCGUCUCAGUCUGCAAUUAGGAAAUAGGAGAAUUUUGCAGCACAGGGGGUGAAGAACUGUCACUUUGCAGAAAUGCCCCAGGGGCAGAAGUGCUCACAACGAAAGGACUGGAAGUGCUCAGCAAUAUGCAAGCCUCCUCACAUGUCCUAGUUCCGGGGGCGAGCAGGGGUUUGCUGAAACUGGAAGGCGUCUGGAGGGGUGCCCAGAGAGGAGCUGGACUGAGCCUGAGCAGUAGGAAGAAAUGGAAACAAUAAAAGUGAAUGAGCAAAUGUUAGCUGAAAAAGACUGGGAAAAUGGAUUGAAGGAACAGGGAAGUCUGGCUCAGAAAAGAAGAAACAAGCAAGAUAAUCUUCUUAGUCUGCAUUAAGUAACCUAUAAGCAAUCUGUUUGCAAUCUCUACUGCUGACACCAAAAAAAACAAACAACACAAACAAAACAACCCACAGCACCCAGGAUGUUUAAAGUGUUUAAACAAGGAGGUGGACCAAAGCCAUUUGUCAGAUAAGCUUGUCACUUGUCAUCAACUGUUGACAAGCGGCUGUGGGUCAAAGUCACAGCAGGGCCUGGCAUUGCAAUGAAUUAAGUGCAAGAACUUCCUGACAAAAAUGAUUGAGAAAUUUAACUUAAGUUUUGGAGCAGCUCUGCUUAGUAAAGACCCUACCACACAGAUCCCUGGAAAAGAGAAGUUGUCUGUAAGGACAUCUGUGUAGUCUGCAGAACUGUGAGUACCUCUCUCAAGCUCCUUGAUGCAAGAACCAGUAUCAGCAAACCUGCGCUGUCAGCACCACCUGGCCCUGCCUGUUUUUCUCACUGUUGGACAGAUAAAAAAAGCAUCAUGGACAUGGACUGGGGCAGGAGGGCAGUACUAGGAGUGGGUGAUGCCACAUAGUAAGACACAAGUUUUCUUGUGUCCCAGGUUUGAAAUAUGGCAUGGUACAGCCAGUCUGCUUCUGAAAAUCUUCAACAUGUGCCUCACUCAUCGUCACAACCACUUGUCAAUGCAAUUAAAAGGUUGCAAAGUGCAGCCUUUUUAAAAAAAUGUGCAGGGAAGAGGAGCAUUCCGAAAACAACCUGCACACAAAAUGAUUUUUUUAACUGGAUCCUACUAAAAACACAAGUAGAGCAUCUACCCCCUCAGUCCUGCUUUCACUGCAAAGUAUCCCCCAGCAUUUAGAGGACAUAAAGGUUUUGCAGGUUUCAUUCAGCUCUCAAAACCCGAACUCUGUGUUUCAGAGAUGACUUUAAGGCAGAGUAUUGCAGUUAUUUGACAAGACAAAGGGAGUACUGUGUCUAAAAUUCCCAUAAAACUUUAUGAAAAAGCAUAGCUAUUUUUUCCCCAAUUUUUAUAACUGAUGCAAAUAUUUCCAUGUAUACUUUUGGCAAAGUACCAAUGAAGCUUAGUUUUGAUACUCCUGAAAAAUAGAGAUAAAAAAAAAAAAAAGCAAAUGAAGAGAAAAAUGCAACAGCACCACCCUGCUGCCAUCUCUUUGUCAAAUGUAUAAUAGCAGAAGCUCUGCUCAGAGAGAUGCAGUUAUGUAAUCUCUAGUUUUAAAAAAAUAAAUAGUUUUUUUCAAAAGUUAGCUAAAGUGAAAAGGUUGGAGUAAAAAAAUCCUUUUUUUUUUUUUUUUUUUUUUUUCCCAGUUCAAGCAUGGCUGUUUCUAAUUUUAUUGAAAAAGAAAUAGGAAAACAAUAAAAACGUUUGAACAUUCCUGUUAGUGAGAAACAGAGCAGGAGCCCAUGGAGCCAGUGGAAAAAUCGCCUCCAUGAGCAGGGGUUUCAUGGCAACCAGCAAAACAGAGUUCAGGAAGGGACUUCAAGAGAUUGUUUAGUCCGGUGGUGACAACACUUUGGCACAGGCACCAGGCCUAUAACUGACAUAGAUUUGGGCUGGCACCGGGACCUCUGAGUCACAGUGACAAUAAGUUUGGCGCUAAGAACCAAAAAUAUCCUGUCAGUCACUGGGCUAGUCCAGCCACUGGCACUGCGCCAGGUUUGGACGUAUACAAGCAGUCAGUGACAAAUACUUGCUGGUCAUGUGAGGAUCCCAUAAGGCCACAAAGUGAGCUCUUUGCAGGGUAUUACUCCUGGCAAUACUCACACAAAAUCAUUUUCCUGCAGUUGAAGCUCUUUUUUCUUGUCCUUUUUCUGAGCAUCCAUUGAGAACAGCUGGUUGUUGUCCUCUUAAUAAUAACAUGUUCCAAAUGGAAAACUAUCACCUUAAUUUACCUGGAGCUGUUCUCAUCCAGAUUACAAAACCCAAUUCUUUCAUCCUUUCAACAUACAUCAUUGUAGGUACUUUCCUCUUGGUAAGAAAUUAGUGUACAAAUUUCAUAUGAGACUCUAUCAAAGGAAAAGGUGAUAUUAUUUUACAAAAUCUCUAAAUACAUCAGCUUUACACUCACAGUCAUCUUCUCAAUGAUUUCCUUCACUUACACUCCCACUCCUACACACUCACAGGAGCCAAGAUGUAUGUGUUCAGGUCGUCUGUCCACAGCCACUUAUGUGCAACACACGAGGAGGUGGCUGGAGAGUCUUCAACCUUGGAGCCCUUCAAAAGCCACCUGGACAUGGUCCUGGGCAGCCUGCUCUGGGUGUCCCUGCGUGGGCAGGGCCUCAGGCAGGUGGGCUCCAGGAGUCCAGUCUCAACCAUUCUAUAGAGGGAUGCCAGGUGUCAAGCACUCAUCAGAUCUCUUGGGCAAUGACAAACUGAUUUUGGACAGGUGUCUCAUAAUUCCCAAGAGCUAAAGGUUAGUAUGGCAUGAUUCUUUUGUAUCAGAGUUUUGAGAGUUCUGGUUAUUUCCACCUUUAGCCAAAUCUGCCUUCAGGCCACAGCCUGUAUACAAUCAAUUUUACUGCUGUGGACUAUGUCCUUCUUUAUGAACAUAUAUAUAAAUAUGUUCAUAAUAUAUAUAUACAUAUAUAUAUUUUUUUCCCCUACUAUCUUAAUAUUCCUAUUACAAGCCUGUAUCUCUGUAUAUCUUUCUUCAUCAUCUGACACUUUCCCAGAUAAUACACUGCCCAGCAGCAAUUGCAGAAUUCCAGGUAAGAACUCAUCCAAAAAAAAAUGAACACAAUUUUUGUAUCAUUUGGAAUGUGAUGCUCCUUCUAAUAUGUCCCAGAGUGACAAUUGCUUUUUUUUGCAGCAGUAUCACCUUGUCAACUCAUAUUUAUAUUGCCCUCUGCCAUAAAUCUUAGAUUAAUUUCUGCAGUUCUGUUGUCAAGCUAUUUUCCAUUUUGUAUUUCUGUAUUUGAUUUGCUCCUGAGAGGGCACUUGUUGCCCUUACUUUUGUUAUAUUUCCUCCUUUGAUCAAUUCCUUCUCAUUUGUCAAGGUAAUAUUGAAUUCAGAUGUCUUUCACCAUGCCUGUGAACUGCUGAGGGACAAAAUGCAUACAGCUUAAACCACAGUCAUUUCAGAAUAAAGACCAGGAGUGAGCAGCAAAAAAGCAUUCAGUCAGCAGAUUUGGAGGACUGGUAGGUCAAGUGUACUUAAAAAAAUGUGGAAAGAGUUUUGUGGGAAAGCUCUCAAUCAUUGUAAGAUACUGUAUUAAGGCCACUAUAGCAACUCAUAUCAGUGCAGAUGAAAUUUAGGAAGAACAGCAGUGGACAAGUAUCAUUGCAUAAGGUAUUCUUUAAGGGUAUGAAGAUCAAGUGGUCCAUCACUGUGGGAUUCAUUGCAGAACAUGGUGAUCCUCCUAUUUUGCAUUCUUAAGUAGAAUGAAAGAAGUAAUUGUCCCAGAGACCAAACCAAACUUUAUUAUUUCAUAAGACAUUACACUUUUUAAUAACUGCUGGGAUAUCGUACCUGAUAGUGGGUGAAUUUUAAAACAUUACAGAAACAGUUUGAAACUCAGUAACAGAAAAGAGGGUAUUUGAAAUACAAUACUAGAUAGCCUGCAAAGCUCUGUUCUAAUACAGAAAUAAAUUCAGAGAGAAAAGAUACAGAAAUAAUAAAAAAAAUGUUCAUUCACCACAAGAAAUUCCAAUAGGUGCACCAAGCUUUUCAUAAAUUUCCUGUAUUAGAAGUCAGUAAAAGAAGGUGCAGGAGAAUGUACUUUCAGUUCCCCAAAACAUGUGUGUUUCCUGGUCCUGUUAUGUUAGUGCUUGCAAUCUGUUCGAGUCUAGAGAAAAAAAAAAAAAAAAGAGCACUGCACUGAAGAGUUUUGAGUUCAUUUUGUUUCAUCAAGUACUUUUCUUUAUUUCAGUAUGAUUCACAGAUAAGGAGAACAAUGAAGCAUUAGGGGAAAUUGAAAUUACUCAGACCUUGUACAGCCUCAGUAUUUUUCUUUCAUUUUGGUCGUGUUUCCAAUUGUACGUAAUCCUGCCAGACUUCUUAAUUUUCUCUCUUGCAUGCAACCUCCAGUCUGAGAUGACAACUUCAGUCUCUCUUGCCCUCUAUUGAAGUGAAUUGGUAAUAACAAUUGCCAAUAAAAUGUGAGUUACAAUAUGUAAAGGAGGAUAUGAAUAAUUGAUCUCAGACCACUGGCGUGUGUAAUUACUUUAUGUAGAAGUCUCAGAAGUGCUGCCAAAUCUGCUGGCUCCUACCUAUGUGUUCGUUUUACCUUCUUUCACUAUCUGCCAAUAGUGUAGGAUAUACACAUGACAAUUUUAUGGCAAACUUUCAGCCUGACAUUUUUAACAUGUUUAAUACAGAGCUUUUAAUUCCUAGGGAAGGUCUGUACUUGGCCAGUGUAUAUCUUAGAAUAAUAGACUCAGCAUUCAAGCAGUUUUAUUUCUCUAAUGUAAAUGCCUCAAUUCAAAUAGUUUAGAAUAUGUAAAAUUCAGGGAGUUAAUAGGGUUAUUUCAUCAGGUGAAUUAUGAACAAUUACAUACAGUCUUUUUGUUUGUAACGUACCAUAAUAGCUUUAUGAUGUUUUAACUGCACUUACAAAAACAUUUUAGUCCUCUAUCUGUCUGGAUAUCCUGAAUUUACAGGAAAUGACUCUAGCAAAUCUUACUCAUUUCCCAAGAGAGAGCACGUUCUCAGUUAUCCAGUGUAAGCCUUCACUAUACCAGAAAAAUUCCUAUAGGUAGGUGUUGUGGAGGGCAAAGUGACCUGCUCUGGCUCAUUAGUUCAUAUACUGUAUAUUAUGGACAUUACAACUCUUUUUAAAGCUGGUGCGAGUCCCUCUGCAUGGUGCUGCCCUUCACAUGGGCGUACUGCUUAGAAUGAGCUGAGGCGUCUGGGCAUCAUGCUCGACUGAUGGAGAAGGUAUGUAUGCCCAAUGCUUGUGAGACUGCAAAUAGAUGUUGUCCUUUGUCCAGAUUUUAUGGGUGUUAAGGUCAGGAGGAGUUAUGACCCAGCCAGGACUAACUAACACAGGCUGCAUCCCCUCUGCUCAUCAUCACCAUCUCCCCUUACCGCGGUGGCUGGUGCAUCCACACUGCAGCUGUUGUUCAUCUUUGCUGCACUUCCAGGGAAGCAGCAAGUAAGUGCUCCCUACAUGUGCUUUCAAAAAGGCUCUGUGCUUUUUGGUUAAGUGUUUUCAGUGACUGCUAUUGUGCAUCUCCCCUACUACUUGCAGGUACAGAUUUUCCAUUACAAGUUGAAGAGAGGGGAAGAAAGAAGAAUUCUGAAAUCAACCCGGCAAUUAGAUAAGUGAAGAGUUAAUUCCAGAAAUACUUCAUGGUACUUUUAAAGACACUUCGGUUCUACGCUGUGACUGUGAAACAAUCUUAAAAUAACUUGUCAAUAACUGUAGCCUGCAGGGAUAGAGUAGGACCUUCUGGCUUUAAUGAAAAAACUAGCAAUCAAGCUUUGUAACUCUUUACUUACAGCUGAAAGCACGAAUAUAAACACACAAGUAAACACUUA